rnacentral:rRNA from 1 species
GACGAACGCUGGCGGCGUGCCUAAUACAUGCAAGUAGGACGCAGUUGCGAACGGGUGAGUAACGCGUAGGUCACUGCCUAUUAGAGGGGGAUAACUAUUGGAAACGAUAGCUAAUACCGCAUCCUAGUAGGAUGAGCUGCGUUGUAUGAGCUAGUAGGUAGGGUAAUAGCCUACCUAGGUGACGAUACAUAGCCGACCUGGAGGGGAGAACGGGCAAACUGGGACCGGAACCCGGCCCAGACUUCUACGGGGGGGAGCAGUAGGGAAUCUUCGGAAAUGGGGGGAACCCUGGCCGAGCAACGCCGCGUGAGUGAAGAAGGGUUUCGGAGCGUUAAGCUAUGUUGUGCAGGAAGCGGUACUUAACCAAGAAGGGACGGCUAACUACGUGCCAGCAGCCGCGGUAAUUC